UGUUCUAUCGUUUUGUCUUUUUGUUGUAAAUGAGUUCCAAGAGGGCAAAGGGGUUUAUUUUUAUAUUUUGUAGAUUAUGUAAGAGAAAACAAUUUGAAUGUAGAUUUGGGCUUGAAUUCAGCCUCUGCCCAUUACUGAUCCUGAGACCCUAGCCGAUAGUUCAGCUUUGCUUCUCUCACCUUGGAUAGUGUAUGCUCACCUGGGUAUUAUUUGGAGAUAAUACUUUUCACUGUUGUAGCAGGGACUGAGACGAGGCAUGAAAAGUGAGUAUUAUCCCAAAAUAAUACCGAGGUUCCCUCUCAUACUCCAUGACUCUGGAUGUGGAAGGACUCAAGGUCCGGCACGUGGACCUUUUCUCUUCCCUAGCCCCUUUCACCCCCUUGCUAAUCUUAUUGGAUUUCAUUAUUACAUACAUCCAUAUGCUGACAGGGCCCAUAUUUAUGUCUUGAGCCUGGACUUAUUCUCUGAAAUACACACUUGUACAUCCACUGCCUUCUUGAUACUUCUACUUGGAUGCCCGUUAGAUAUCUCAUUUCUAACCUCUCCAAAGUGAAACUCUUGUUUUUUUCUCCCUAAUCCUGCCUUUUCACAUUGCCAGCCAUCCUCAUUAGUGGCAAUUCUGUCGUUCCAGUCGUCAGGCCAAAAAACCUUGCCAUCGUCACUGCCUCCUCCCUUACAAACCAUGAGCAAACCCUACUGUUGCUCUCUUAAAAAUAAUGCAGGGACCCCUGGGUGGCUCAGUCAGUAAGUGCCCAACUCUUGGACUUCGGCUCAGGUCAUAUGCUGAUUACAAAAGAAGGGUCGAGAUAGGAGGGCAGCGCUUUUUAGCGCCUUCCUUAAUUAAAAUGGCGACACUUAUGGAGUUCUGUUGUUUGUAGCCAUGGCCAGGCUCCAGUCAC